AACGAACGCUGGCGGCAUGCCUAACACAUGCAAGUCGAACGAGACCUUCGGGUCUAGUGGCGCACGGGUGCGUAACGCGUGGGAACCUGCCCUUAGGUUCGGAAUAACUCCCCGAAAGGGGUGCUAAUACCGGAUAAUGUCUUCGGACCAAAGAUUUAUCGCCUUUGGAUGGGCCCGCGUUGGAUUAGCUAGUUGGUAGGGUAAAAGCCUACCAAGGCGACGAUCCAUAGCUGGUCUGAGAGGAUGUUCAGCCACACUGGGACUGAGACACGGCCCAGACUCCUACGGGAGGCAGCAGUGAGGAAUAUUGGACAAUGGGCGAAAGCCUGAUCCAGCAAUGCCGCGUGAAUGAUGAAGGCCUUAGGGUUGUAAAGCUCUUUUACCCGGGAUGAUAAUGACAGUACCGAGAGAAUAAGCUCCGGCUAACUCCGUG
rnacentral:rRNA from 1 species